CUACCUGAGGCAGUUACACAGAAGAUACAAGCAACAAUUGAGUGUUAGAUCAGAUUUCAAGCCACAAUUGGUAAUUUUGCAACUAAGAGAUCACUAUAAAUACUUUAGUAUUAAAUUUUGAAUUAAAAGUCUAUUUUUUGUUGUCAUUCUCAAGUGAUAUUAUUUUAUACCCAACAAAAAUACAUGUUUUAGAAACAACAUAAAUAGUCUAUUUUUUGGUGUCAUUCUCAAGUGAUAUUAUUUUAUACCCAAUAAAAAUAUAUGUCUUAGAAACACCUUGAAAAAACAUAUA
rnacentral:lncRNA from 1 species